UACGUAGGGUGCAAGCGUUGUCCGGAAUUAUUGGGCGUAAAGAGCUCGUAGGCGGUUUGUCGCGUCUGCUGUGAAAACUCGGGGCUCAACCCCCGAGCCUGCAGUCGAUACGGGCAGACUAGAGUGCUGUAGGGGGGGACUGGAAUUCCUGGUGUAGCGGUGAAAUGCGCAGAUAUCAGGAGGAACACCAGUGGCGAAGGCGGUCUCUUGGGGGC
rnacentral:rRNA from 1 species